rnacentral:lncRNA from 13 species
GUCUGGGAGGCUGGAGAGCGUGAAGGCUACAGAAAGCUUCCAUCCCCUUUGCCUGCAGGAAGACAGUCAGGAUGAAGGAUGCAAUUUCAAGAUAAUUCGAGACGGCGCUAGUGAAGGAUGGAGAUUCUUGUUGCACCUGCAAGCCUUUUGGUAGUCAUGCUUCUCUUCGUCCUGGGUGCCCCUUGUCCCUUGGCUUUCAAGGCUGGAGCGCCUCUAUCCUCCCACUACUCCUUGACAGUCCAUGCUCAUUGGAGGACACAGUUUCUGAAACACGGAGUGGCUUGCCUGUGGCAGCAAAGCAGCGUGUUGAAAUCAGCUCCUGGGGCUUCCAACUCUCAGUCCAGACCCCGUCUAUUUGAAGACUGGCUCCUGCCCUGCCUCUCUCUCCUUGUGCGGAAGUCUUCUCCUUUCUUAGAGCCUCACUCUCUCCAUUUGGAAAAUAAAGUGCUCGGACUGUAAUCAGUGGAUUUCAUGUUUAAAUAUUAUUAAAUUGAGGAAGAUCUUCUUCAAAUGAAUGUUGUGCUGAAACCCAGUAUAGAAACUGUGAAUGCAAAGCUUCUCUGAGUUGAUUGGCAAGAGGACUGGAGGCCCCUGGUCACCUCCUUUUGUCUUUCAGAAAAUCCCCAUUCUUAAUGUGCCUCCUUGAGUUACUUAGGUAUCACCUAGUCCAAGUGGUUUCCAGGCAGCGCUCCCAUCAUCUUAUCCAACUUUGAUAUUCCAUCAGCUGUCACAAUUCAGACUCUCCAGGAUAUAUUUUAAACUGACUUUCGCGUCUCUUUGCUAGCUUGCUCCCAAGCAGUUGGUAUCUGAGAACUCCAGACUCCAAUGAUAUGGUGAAAAGAAAACUCGGUGACUCAACAAGAAAAGAAAACUUCAGGCCAAUAUCCAUGAUGAACAUAGAUGCAAAAAUCUUCAAUAAGAUACUGGCAAACCGAUUGCAACAGCACAUCAAAAAGCUUAUCCACCAUGAUCAAGUAGACUUCAUCCCAGGGAUGCAAGGCUGGUUCAACAUACGUAAGUCUAUAAAUGUAAUUCACCACGCAAACAGAACCAAAGAACAAACAAACAAAAAAAAAUAGAAAACUCGGUGUUGAGCCAGGACACUCAAGUUCUCUACCUACAACAUGGGGCCUUUCUGUUGUUGAUUUCCUCACCUAAAACAGAAGUUAUCACCUCUGGUUCUCCCGUCUUGCAGAGUUGUGAGGCUCACAGGUGUUAAACUGUGCGUGCUGUUCUUUCCUCAUUCCAGGCACAUGGCAGGUUAACUUCCCUGUUGGAGAUGACCAUGUGAUUUGCCAGCCAAUGAUGCACCUGUGGAGAUGAUGUGUGUCAUUUCUGGGAGGGGGUGAGUUUUAAGAGCUGGUGCUUGAUUCUCUUUGUUCUUUAUUCUCCUAGAGCAACUGUAGAAGCACAUGUCAAAACUCGCUUCCAGUCAGCAUGAAUUUAAGAGUGAUCAGUUUUAGCAGAAAUCCCGGCAUAACCAAACUGUCCUGGAGCAUAACCAAAAAAUAAAGCUUUGCUGCUUUGAGCCCUUAGAUAUUUG